rnacentral:rRNA from 1 species
ACGAACGCUGGCGGCGUGCUUUACACAUGCAAGUCGAGCGGUAAGGCCCUUUCGGGGGUACACGAGCGGCGAACGGGUGAGUAACACGUGAGUAAUCUGCCCUUCACUUGGGGAUAAGCACCGGAAACGGUGUCUAAUACCCGAUACGACCACCGCAUGCAUGGGGUGGUUGUGGAAAGUUUUUUCGGUGGGGGAUGUGCUCGCGGCCUAUCAGCUUGUUGGUGGGGUAAUGGCCUACCAAGGCUUCGACGGGUAGCCG